rnacentral:rRNA from 1 species
UACAGAGGAGCCAAGCGUUGUCCGGAUUGACUGGGCGUAAAGCGCACGCAGGCGGUUGCGCGCGUGGGGUGUGAAAUCUGGCCGCUUAACGGCCAGGCGUCAUCCCAUACGGCGCGACUGGAGUGAUGCAGAGGUCGAUGGAAUUGCCGGUGUAGUGGUGAAAUGCGUAGAGAUCGGCAGGAACACCCAGGGGGGAAACCAGUCGACUGGGCAUCUACUGACGCUGAGGAGCGAAAGCGUGGGGAGCAAACAGG